rnacentral:rRNA from 1 species
GACGAACGCUGGCGGCGUGCUUAACACAUGCAAGUCGAACGGAAAGGCCCUGCUUUUGUGGGGUGCUCGAGUGGCGAACGGGUGAGUAACACGUGAGUAACCUGCCCUUGACUUUGGGAUAACUUCAGGAAACUGGGGCUAAUACCGGAUAGGAGCUCCUGCUGCAUGGUGGGGGUUGGAAAGUUUCGGCGGUUGGGGAUGGACUCGCGGCUUAUCAGCUUGUUGGUGGGGUAGUGGCUUACCAAGGCUUUGACGGGUAGCCGGCCUGAGAGGGUGAGCGGCCACAUUGGGACUGAGAUACGGCGCAGACGCCAACGGGAGGCAGCAGGGGGGAACCUUGCACAAUGGGCGGAAGCCUGAUGCAGCAACGCCGCGUGCGGGAAGCCGGCCUUCGGGUUGGAAACCGCUGUCACCUGUGACGAAGCGUUAGUGACGGUAAUGGGUGAAGAAGCACCGGCUAACUACGUG